rnacentral:lncRNA from 1 species
CGAAAUAAACAGUGACUCCCAGCUAAUGGUCAACCAAAUAAUGGGGGCAUAUCAGGCGAGGGACCCUACUAUGCAGAAAUACUUAGCGAAGGUAAAAGCCAUUGAAGCAGAGCUCGGUGAGCAAGGAGUCAAGGUGAAAUAUCAGAGAAUACCUCGAGAAGAAAACGAGGAGGUGGACCUGCUUAGUUGAUUAUCCGAAGAAGAGUUGGAACAACUCUC